UACGUAGGGGGCAAGCGUUGUCCGGAUUUAUUGGGCGUAAAGAGCGUGUAGGCGGCCUGACAGGUCUGCUGUGAAAACUCGAGGCUCAACCUCGAGAUGUCGGCGGAAACCGUCUGGCUAGAGUCCGGAAGAGGAGAGUGGAAUUCCUGGUGUAGCGGUGAAAUGCGCAGAUAUCAGGAGGAACACCGGUGGGCGAAGGCGGGUCUCUGGCAGUAACUGACGCUGAGGAGCGAAAGCGUGGGGAGCGAACAGG
rnacentral:rRNA from 1 species